UACGUAGGGUGCAAGCGUUGUCCGGAAUUAUUGGGCGUAAAGGGCGCGUAGGCGGUCACGCACGUCCGUUGUGAAAUCGCUCGGCUCAACUGGGCGGGGUCAGCGGAUACGGCGUGGCUGGAGCAAGCUAGGGGGCAAUGGAAUUCCCGGUGUAGUGGUGGAAUGCGUAGAUAUCGGGAGGAACACCAGUGGCGAAGGCGGUUGCCUGGAGCUUUGCUGACGCUGAUGCGCGAAAGCGUGGGGAGCGAUCCGG
rnacentral:rRNA from 1 species